ACUUUUGUUCCAGAAGUGUGUGUGUGUAGCAUCUGAAAGUCAUGGUGCAUCUGGCUGCUGCCUUGCACCCUGCCCAUCAUUGCCUUCCUCCUCCUCAAAUCUACCACAUUAGCCAGGAAAAUCUGCCAGUCUUGCCAAUGACCUCAUGGUGACCAUUCAACCUAUGCCAGCUUUCAGUUGCUGCCAUCAUGAUGAAGCAGGACAAUCCCACAGCUGGCACAAUUAGCUGAUCUCAUAUCCCAACUUACAGUGGAAGUUAAUAAUCUCAAGCAACAACUCCAUAGCUGUCCAUACUCCCUCUCCUCCACUCCACACCACUUCCAAUGAUGAUCUCACUCAAGAUGUGUCUCAAGGACCCAAAGAGUCUGCUUCUAACACCACAAGUUUGGGAAAGAUACCAUAAAAGUGCCUUACUCCUUGCACUUUCAAGGUGUUAAGCACAAACAGCAAACAUUAAUGCAGCAUAGUGUUCACCCAUCCUUCUUCAUCUACACUGCUCCACAUCUACAACUGCCCAUCCCAGACUAAGUUCUUGGUGCAGACGUUAGUGUCCUUCCUGCGCCAGCCAGCCAGUGGUCCCUGCUUCCUGCCUCUGCACCUGUAUGCUGCUAAUGGUACCAAAAUACCAGUAUGCUCGUGACAAACGAUGCAGCUAGACCUGAGCAUGUGCCGUUCUUUCAAGUGGAUGUUCUAUGUUGGAGCAGUCUCUCAAGCCAUCCUUGGUGCUGAUUUUCUGAGGCACUACUACCUCAUGAUUGACCUGAAAGAUGGACCCCCUCAUUGCCUUCUCCACAAAGGCACAGGCUGCAUCCAGUGACCGUGCAAGACACCGUUAUUCACCAGGACCACAAGUUCGCCAACCUCAAGACCCUUCCUCAUGCUGAAGCAGCCAUAUUCUUCAGCAUGUGAUUCCACCACGUGACUCACCACAUCAAGACAACUGGAUUACCAGUACACGCCAAGGUUCAACACUUAGCUCCUGAGCGUUUUAAGAAAGCCAAGGCUGAGUUCAAAUCUCUGAUGAAUCAAGGCAUCAUACAGCCCAGCAGCAGCAAAUGGUCAUCAGCACUUCACAUCCCCAAAAAGAACAGAGACAUCAGGCCUUGUGGAGACUACCAUGCCCUCAACUCCCGCACAGUCGAAGAAGGUACCCUGUGCCCAAGAUCCAGUUCUUUUCACAUUUACACCGACCACAGACCUCUCACCACAAUGUUCAACAAGAAAAAGGACUCCUACACACCAUAACCCCCAACUGAUGCCCUUUUCCAGAACAGCUCUGCUGUCACAUCCUCUCCCAUCAACUAUGCCACCAUUGCUGCAGACCAGGCUGGUGCCACUGAGCUGCAGGAAUUCCUGGCAAACCCCCAUGUUGAAGAUGAAGAAAAUCAUGCUUCCAGGAACCCUGGUCUAUGCUGAUGUAUCCACCUAUGCUGUUUGCCCAUACAUCCCUGUGAAGCAUUGAUACCAGCUCUUCCGACAGCUGCAUGACUUGUCUCUCUGGAAUUUGUGCCUCCCAGUAGAUGAUGACCUGUUUUAUAUGGGAAGGGAUAAACAAGGACAUCAAACAGUGGACACUCACCUACAUCAACUGUCAAGCCUCCAAGGUGACAUAUCAUACCAACUCUACAAGGGGAGGCAGUAGGCACCUGCUGAAACAAUAAUUAUUCCCAGUGAGGUCUAAAGCACUGUUCAAGGGGUACUGUGAACUUAUCAUUAAACCCAGCUGUGACCUCAAUGAACGUUUCCCUUUGUGUCUCACAAUACAAGGGGGCAGUCACAGCCUGCCCUCUAAAGACAACUCUCUUCAUCCACACAAAACUACAAGCACCUAAUAACACACACACACACCCUACACUCAAAAAUUUUAAAAUUAUAAUGGGAACUCCUACACCAUCCUUGGAGUCCCCAUCUGGGGAGGGGACCAUAAAUGUCUCCAGGUCGGACUGCCCUUCUGUUGAUGACCCUAAGUGUCUUGACAACCCCCUCAACUUUUUCUUCAUUAAAUUUUGCAACAUUCGCAGUCUAAGAUCUAAUUUUCAAUCUGUAGACAUCACCUCUCCUCUUCUAAACCUCAUCUUCUUUUCCUCACUGAAACACAGGUGUCUGAGGCAACUGACAGUAGUAGCCCCUUUUCUUCUAAAGUGGUGCACAUUCUGACCCUCUUCCCUUUUGCAGAGAUCUCCAUUCUUGGAGACUUCAAUGUUCACCACCAGCUUUGGCUCUUUCCUCUCCCUUCACUGACCAUCCUGGUGAACUAGCCUUCAACUUUGCUAUCCUCCAUGACCUAGAACAAUUGGUGCAACACCCUACUCAUAUUCCUGACCGUCUUGGAGAUAUGCCCAACAUUCUUGAUCUUUUCAUGACCUCUAAUCCUUCUGCUUAUGCUGUCACCCUCUCUUCUCUGUUGGACUCCUCCGAUCACAAUCUCAUAUCUGUAUUUUGUCCUAUUGCUCCACUCCCUCCUCAGGAUCCCCCUAAGCGAAGGUGCCUCUGGCGUUUUGCCUCUCCUAGUUGGGGGGACCUGAGGAGGUUUUGCUGAUAUUCCUUAGAAUGACUACUGCUUCCGUGUCAGAGACCUGUCUUUGUGUGCUGAGCGCAUAACAGAGGUGAUGGUGUCUGGCAUGGAGGCGUACAUUCCUCACUCUGAGCGCAUAACAGAGGUGAUAGUGUCUGGCAUGGAGGCGUACAUUCCUCACUCUUUUUCUCUUGACCUAAACUUUCCAAACCUUGGUUUAACACAGCUUAUUCUCGUGCUAUACAUGAUAGAGAGGUGGCCCUCAAAAGGUACUUAAGCCUUCCAUCACCAGAUUCUCAUGCACUUUAUAUUUCUGCCCAGAACCAUGCCAAGUCUGUUCUCCAACUAGCCGAAAACUCCUUCAUUAACAUAAAGCGUCAAAAUCCUUCAAGAUCUAACUCCCCUCGUGACUUCUGGCAUCUAGCCAAAAAUAUCUCCAAUAACUUUGCUGCUUCUUCUUUCCCUCCUUUAUUUCAACCAGAUGGCACCAAUGCUAUCACAUCUAUUUCUAAAGCUGAACUCUUCACUCAAACCUUAGCUAAAAACUCUACCUUGGACGAUUCUGGGCUUGUUCCUCCCUCUCCUCCACCCUCUCUGACUGCUUCGUGCUAUCCAUUAAAAUUCUUCGCAAUGAUGUUUUCCAUGCCCUCGCUGGCCUAAACUCUGAGAAAGCUUAUGGACCUGAUGGGGUCCCUCCUAUUGUUCUCCGAAACUGUGCUUGCACCUUGCCUAGUCAAACUUUUUCAGCUCAGUCUGUCUGUCAACAUCUACCUUUCCUUCGUGCUGGAAGUUUGCCUACAUUCAGCCUGUUUCUAAAAAGGGUGACAGUUCUAAUCCCUCAAACUACUGUCCUAUUGCUUUAAUUUCCUGCCUAUCUAAAGUUUUUGAAUCUAUCCUCAACAGGAAGAUUCUUAAACAUCUAUCACUUCACAACCUUCUAUCUGAUUGCCGGUAUGAGUUCCAUCAAGGCCACACUCUACUGGUGAUCUUCUAGCUUUCCUUAAUGAGUCUUGGUCAUCCUUUUUUAGAGAUUUUGGUGAAACUUUUGCUGUUGCCUUGGAUAUAUAUCAAAAGCUUUUGAUAGAGUCUGGCAUAAAGCUUUGAUCUCCAAACUACCCUCCUACAGCUUCUAUCCUUCUCUCUGUAACUUCAUCUCAAGUUUCUUUUCUGACCAUUCUAUUGCUUCUGUGGUAGAUGGUCACUGUUCUUCUCCUAAAUCUAUUAAUAGUGGUGUUCCUCAGGGUUCUGUCCUGUCACCCACUCUCUUCUUAUUAUUCAUUAAUGAUCUUCUAAACCAAACUUCUUGUCCUAUCCACUCCUACGCUGAUGAUACCACCCUGCACUUUUCCACGUCUUUUCAUAGACAUCCAACCCUUCAGGAAGUAAACACAGGGAAGCGCCUGACUUCUGAUCUUUCUAAAAUUUCUGAUUGGGGCAGAGCAAACUUGGUAUUGUUCAAUGCCUCAAAAACUUAAUUCCUCCAUCCAUCAACUCGACACAACCUUCCAGACAACUAUCCCCUCUUCUUCGACAACACUCAACUGUCCCGCUUUUCUACACUGAAUAUCCUCGGUCUGUCCUGUACUUGUAAUCUGAACUGGAAACUUCACAUUUCAUUUCUAGCUAAAACAGCUUCUAUGAAGUUUAGGUGUUCUGAGACUUCUCUGGCAAUUUUUCUCACCCCCCCAGCUGCUAAUUCUGUACAAGGGGCCUUAUCUGUGUCCAUGUAUGGAGUAUGCUUCACAUGUCUAGGGGGGGUUCCCACUCAUACCGCUCUUCUAGACAGGGUGGAAUCAAAAGCUUUUUGUCUCAUCAACUCCUCUCCUCUAACUGACUGUCUUCAGCCUCUCUUUCAUCACUGCAAUGUUGCAUCUCUAGCUGUCUUCUACUGCUAUUUUCAUGCUAACUGCUCUUCUGAUCUUGCUAACUGAAUGCCUCCCUUCCUCCCAUGGCCUUGCUGCACUAGACUUUCUUCUUUCUCUCACCCCUAUUCUGUCCACCUCUCUAAUGCAAGAGUUACACAGUAUUCUUAAUCAUUCAUCCCUUUCUCUGGUAAACUCUGAAACUCCCUACCUGCUUCUGUUUUUCCACCUUCCUAUGACAUGAAUUCCUUCAAGAGGGAGGUUUCAAGAAACUUAUAAACUCCUGCAGCCACCUUCACACCAGUCUCAGAGAGAUUCAACCACUUUCACAUACACCUAGUUGGACUGCUACCCUAUACCAACAGCCACUGCUACUGUAGGAAUAUCAUUUAGUUAGGAAGGACAGAUGGAGAAUGCCUAACGCAAUGCACAUGACAUCGAGGCUCCAUCUUCCAAGUCAUUCCUCCCUCCUCACCAUGUGCCACUCCUAGCUGCACAUCACCACCGCUUUCACUCUCACAUCCUACCACGGACCCAACACUCCUGUUCAACACCACAACCCUAGCACAAGCCAAGGAGUUUUUCUUGUGGGAUUGUAUUAAGGAGGACUUGCAAUAAUUAUCACCACUACACCCAAUGAAAGAACCACCAUUGCACAUACUCGUACACCUGCUGGAGGAUGCAACACCCUUUGCCAUCCACACACCCCAGCAGAUUCCGCUGGCUUUCCAGGAUGCUGUACAACAAGAACUGCAGUUGAUGGUGACCCAGGCCACCUGCUAGUGAUGAGCCAUUGCCCUGGUGUCACCCAACAGUGUAGUGAGAAUCACUACUGUGACCUGUCUCAUCUCAACAAGCAGAUCUCUCGCCCUGCCCACCCCUCACCAAAACCAUUUGAUGUCAUCAGAAGUGGUGAUCUUUAGGUUCACUACUUCACUACAGUUGAUGCCCUGCAAAGAUACUACUGGCAGCUUGAGCUGGGUGAGAAGGACCAGCCACACUCACCAUGUUAAUAACAACACCUUACGGUUGCUUGAAAUGCCUCUGCCUCCAUGGGAUUUGCAGCAACGGGUGACACCUUCUGCAUUUGAGGGGACAAGGCACUAUAAGGUGUCCCCAACUGUGUUAAAGUGGUGGAUGAUGAUCUCAUUCACGAUCAUGAUCUACUACUACACCUCGACCGCACCAACACCAUUUUUACCAGGUGGCAGGAGAAUGGUAUCACACUUGAUGCAGACAAGUUUGAGAAUUUACUGACUUUCCAAAAUGCUGGGACUUCCAGAACCUGGUUACCUCACUUAAAUGCCUGCAAGCCAACAGUAAUGCCAAGGCAUCAGUCAAAGUUGUCAGCACUUAAUCAUGAAGAUCACUCCCUCAGGCAACAUUGACUGUGGGGCGUUCGAUCGUGGACUUCUGGAGGUGCAGAAUACACCAAGCCACACUGGAUGUUCUCUGGCACAAGUGCUAUACAGCCACCCCUCUGCACCUGCAUGCCAGCCCAUCCUAAAGCAUACAAGACAGAGUGGCAACCCACCAAGGAGGACUGUGCCUGCCUGACACACAACACAGUGAGAAUAGGAAGUUGUUAUUGUAGCGGGAGACAUACCCAAACACUGCCUGCCCUUGAUGUUAACCAGCGAGUACACAUCCAGAAUCCCAGGACCACCUGCUGGGACCAGGUGGGCACAGUAUUGGUAUACCAUGAACCGCAUCAACACAAUGUCUGCCUACCGUGUGGCCUGUGUCCUGAGAUGGGAAUCCCCGAUUUCUACGCCCAGAUGCUGCCUCUGUGAACCCCUUGACAGAUGUCCCUGCAACCCAUGAUCCACACCACUGCUUUGAUGUUCCAGGCACCUGUGCAAGCAAGAGGUUACAGCAGCCAGUCAUAAGUUCAAGAUUUUGCUCUGAACUUGGUGGGGGAAAGGUUUAGGAAUAUCAUUUAGUUAGGAAGGACAGACAGAGACACACAUACUUGUAUCCUACACACACAUACUAUUGCAGCCAAACUUGUGUCGCAAAGACACGCACUAGAGAAAGCCAGGAUUACUGUGUCCAUUGUAGCUGGAAUAAGAAUAGAAUGUUUGUUUGUCUGUCUCCUAGACUUUAAUUCAAGCCCCUUAUGGUGACAGCCCUAAGAGACAUGACCUUACAUAUAUGGCUCAGUGGGCAACCUACAGUACCUGCUGACCUGUGUGGACCAUUGGACCAUUUCACACACUGGCCUAAGGCUGCACCCCUGGCAAACAUAACCACUAACUCUGUUGCAUACACCUUCAUUGCCACGUGAAUCUCCAGGUUUAGUGUGCCUGUAAACCUCACCUCUGACCGUUGGCAGUCAGCUUGAUUCCAGCAUAUGGAACAAAGUUGUGACUCUCCUUGGUAUCUGCCGCUACAGGACCUCUGGCUACCAUCCAUAAGCUAACAGCAGCACAGUCAAGUGCUUUCACCGCCAGCUGAAGUCUUCUCUGGCAACCUUAACUGAAGAAAAUUGGUCGCUCUCCUCAUCCUCCUCAGUAUCAGGACAUCCUCCGCUGAGCUCAUUCAUGGCAAAAUCCUUGCUGCCAUGCAGAUC